rfam:Felis catus isolate Cinnamon breed Abyssinian chromosome E1, whole genome shotgun sequence.
GCCCGGGUGGCUCAGUCAGCUGAGCGUCUGACUUUGGCUCAGGUCAUGAUCUCACGGUUCGUGAGUUCGAGUCCCGCGUCGGGCU